rnacentral:rRNA from 1 species
CACCAGACUCCUACGGGAGGCAGCAGUGAGGAAUAUUGGUCAAUGGCCGCAGGGCUGAACCAGCCAAGUCGCGUGAGGGAUGACGGUCCUAUGGAUUGUAAACCUCUUUUGUCAGGGAGCAAAGGGCGCCACGUGUGGCGUUUUGCGAGUACCUGAAGAAAAAGCAUCGGCUAACUCCGUGCCAGCAGCCGCGGUAAUACGGAGGAUGCGAGCGUUAUCCGGAUUUAUUGGGUUUAAAGGGUGCGCAGGCGGAUUUUUAAGUCAGCGGUCAAAUCGUGGGGCUCAACCCCAUCCAGCCGUUGAAACUGGGGAUCUAGAGUGUGCGAGAGGUAUGCGGAAUGCGUGGUGUAGCGGUGAAAUGCAUAGAUAUCACGCAGAACUCCGAUUGCGAAGGCAGCUUACUAAACUAUAACUGACACUGAAGCACGAAAGCGUGGGGAUCAAACAGGAUUAGAUACCCGAGUAG